CAGUAGCCACGGUAAUACGAAGGGUGCAAGCGUUAAUCGGAAUUACUGGGCGUAAAGCGCGCGUAGGUGGUUUGGUAAGAUGGAUGUGAAAUCCCCGGGCUCAACCUGGGAACUGCAUCCAUAACUGCCUGACUAGAGUACGGUAGAGGGUGGUGGAAUUUCCUGUGUAGCGGUGAAAUGCGUAGAUAUAGGAAGGAACACCAGUGGCGAAGGCGACCACCUGGACUGAUACUGACACUGAGGUGCGAAAGCGUGGGGAGCAAACGGGAUUAGAUACCCGAGUAGUCCCUGUCUCUUAUAC
rnacentral:rRNA from 1 species